rnacentral:lncRNA from 1 species
AUCAUCACUGAACAAGUGGCUCACCUGUUGAGCAUUCUGCUGUUAAGUGCGGCUCAUGAAGCAUAUGUGUAUAAGUGUACCUUAAACCAAAGAUCACUAUAGUUACUUGUAAGCAACUCACUGUGCUUUGAUGUCGGAUUUUUUGAAUUUCUCAUGCAGUGAUGGAAGGCUACUGGGUAUAGUCAAGUACUUACAAAAUCUGUGUGUGGAUUUAAGAUGGGAUUGACCUCUCUGAAUUAUAAGAGUUGAUGUAUCACUGUAUUUCAAUUUAGUAAAAUAUUGGCUAGGAUAAUCCAUGAGAUGAAUUUGAAAGAUUGAAAUAUAAUAUGGAUGAAACACUCAGGAUUGAUAGUUAACCCU